GAUGAACGCUGACGGCAUGCCUAAUACAUGCAAGUCGAGCGAACGGACGAGAAGCUUGCUUCUCUGAUGUUAGCGGCGGACGGGUGAGUAACACGUGGAUAACCUACCUAUAAGACUGGGAUAACUUCGGGAAACCGGAGCUAAUACCGGAUAAUAUUUUGAACCGCAUGGUUCAAAAGUGAAAGACGGUCUUGCUGUCACUUAUAGAUGGAUCCGCGCUGCAUUAGCUAGUUGGUAAGGUAACGGCUUACCAAGGCAACGAUGCAUAGCCGACCUGAGAGGGUGAUCGGCCACACUGGAACUGAGACACGGUCCAGACUCCUACGGGAGGCAGCAGUAGGGAAUCUUCCGCAAUGGGCGAAAGCCUGACGGAGCAACGCCGCGUGAGUGAUGAAGGUCUUCGGAUCGUAAAACUCUGUUAUUAGGGAAGAACAUAUGUGUAAGUAACUGUGCACAUCUUGACGGUACCUAAUCAGAAAGCCACGGCUAACUACGUG
rnacentral:rRNA from 1 species